GAUUGAAUGGCUCAGUGAGGCCUCCGGACUGGCUCAGGGAGGUCGGCAACGACCACCCAGAGCCGGAAAGUUCGUCAAACUUGGUCAUUUAGAGGAAGUAAAAGUCGUAACAAGGUCUCCGUAGGUGAACCUGCGGAGGGAUCAUUA
rnacentral:rRNA from 1 species